UGAGCAUAUGAAAGAGUGUCU
rnacentral:siRNA from 1 species